rnacentral:lncRNA from 1 species
GGCACCUUCGGCGGCCGAAUGUGCAUGACAGAUCCGAAAGUCCACCUUCCGGAAGCAGCCUUCGGCAGCCAAAGCCACCUCCACAAGGCAUUCGGCGGCCGAAACUCACUUCGGCGGCCGAACCUGAGUUCUUCCAGAACCCAGUUCAUGCACCAACACCUCUCCUCAACCCUUCCUCACAUACCCAACAUGCAUAAAACCUCCUCAAGACAUGUAUAGACCUCUAAACAUACCCAAGACAUAUAUAGACCUCUAAACAUACCCAAAGAGGCCUAAAACACUCUUAAACUCUAACAACAAUAACAUAUAAACACAUAGUGCACAAAGGGUCCCUAAAACCCUCCCAUGCACACCCAUGCUCAUCUAACCCUUUCUUCCCAUAAAACUCCUAAAACUAUCCAUCAAACAUGCUUAAAACAUCAUAAAACGUAGAGAUCAACCCUUACCUCUUGAGUUGGUGUGACCUCAACUUCAAA